rnacentral:rRNA from 1 species
AGAGUUUGAUCCUGGCUCAGGACGAACGCUGGCGGCGUGCCUAACACAUGCAAGUCGAGCGAAGUGAUUUCAGAUGAGAUCUUCGGAAGGAUUCUGAAAUCAUCUUAGCGGCGGACGGGUGAGUAACGCGUGAGAAACCUGCCUUUCACAAAGGGAUAGCCUCGGGAAACUGGGAUUAAUACCAUAUGACACUUGCACCUCGCAUGAGGAGCAAGUUAAAGCGUAAAGCGGUGAAAGAUGGUCUCGCGUCCUAUUAGCUAGUUGGUGAGGUAACGGCUCACCAAGGCGAUGAUAGGUAGCCGGCCUGAGAGGGUGAACGGCCACACUGGAACUGAGACACGGUCCAGACUCCUACGGGAGGCAGCAGUGGGGAAUAUUGCACAAUGGAGGAAACUCUGAUGCAGCGACGCCGCGUGAAUGAUGAAGGCCUUCGGGUCGUAAAAUUCUGUCCUUGGGGAAGAUAAUGACGGUACCCAAGGAGGAAGCCCCGGCUAACUACGUGCCAGCAGCCGCGGUAAUACGUAGGGGGCGAGCGUUGUCCGGAAUUAUUGGGCGUAAAGGGCUCGCAGGCGGUCUGAUAAGUCAGAUGUGAAAGGCAAUGGCUCAACCAUUGUAAGCAUUUGAAACUGUCAGACUUGAGUUAAGGAGAGGAAAGUGGAAUUCCUAGUGUAGCGGUGAAAUGCGUAGAUAUUANGAGGAAUACCAGUGGCGAAGGCGACUUUCUGGACUUAUACUGACGCUGAGGAACGAAAGCGUGGGGAGCAAACAGGAUUANAUACCCUGGUAGUCCACGCCGUAAACGAUGAGUGCUAGGUGUUGGGGGUCAAACCUCGGUGCCGCAGCUAACGCAUUAAGCACCCCGCCNGGGGAGUACGUACNCAAGUAUGAAACUNNAAGGAAUUGACGGGGACCCGCACAAGCAGCGG